GACGAACGCUGGCGGCGUGCUUAACACAUGCAAGUCGAGCGGUAAGGCCUUCGGGUACACGAGCGGCGAACGGGUGAGUAACACGUGGGUGAUCUGCCUCGUACUCUGGGAUAAGCCUGGGAAACUGGGUCUAAUACCGGAUAGGACCGUGCCAUGCAUGUGGUGUGGUGGAAAGAUUUAUCGGUGCGAGAUGGGCCCGCGGCCUAUCAGCUUGUUGGUGGGGUAAUGGCCUACCAAGGCGACGACGGGUAGCCGACCUGAGAGGGUGACCGGCCACACUGGGACUGAGACACGGCCCAGACUCCUACGGGAGGCAGCAGUGGGGAAUAUUGCACAAUGGGCGGAAGCCUGAUGCAGCGACGCCGCGUGAGGGAUGACGGCCUUCGGGUUGUAAACCUCUUUCGACAGGGACGAAGCGUAAGUGACGGUACCUGUAGAAGAAGCACCGGCCAACUACGUGCCAGCAGCCGCGGUAAUACGUAGGGUGCGAGCGUUGUCCGGAAUUACUGGGCGUAAAGAGCUUGUAGGCGGUUCGUCGCGUCGAUUGUGAAAACUUGCAGCUCAACUGCAAGCUUGCAGUCGAUACGGGCGGACUAGAGUACUUCAGGGGAGACUGGAAUUCCUGGUGUAGCGGUGAAAUGCGCAGAUAUCAGGAGGAACACCGGUGGCGAAGGCGGGUCUCUGGGAAGUAACUGACGCUGAGAAGCGAAAGCGUGGGUAGCGAACAGGAUUAGAUACCCUGGUAGUCCACGCCGUAAACGGUGGGUACUAGGUGUGGGUUUCCUUCCACGGGAUCCGUGCCGUAGCUAACGCAUUAAGUACCCCGCCUGGGGAGUACGGCCGCAAGGCUAAAACUCAAAGGAAUUGACGGGGGCCCGCACAAGCGGCGGAGCAUGUGGAUUAAUUCGAUGCAACGCGAAGAACCUUACCUGGGUUUGACAUACACCGGAAACCUGCAGAGAUGUAGGCCCCCUUGUGGUCGGUGUACAGGUGGUGCAUGGCUGUCGUCAGCUCGUGUCGUGAGAUGUUGGGUUAAGUCCCGCAACGAGCGCAACCCUUGUCCUGUGUUGCCAGCGCGUUAUGGCGGGGACUCGCAGGAGACUGCCGGGGUCAACUCGGAGGAAGGUGGGGACGACGUCAAGUCAUCAUGCCCCUUAUGUCCAGGGCUUCACACAUGCUACAAUGGCCGGUACAGAGGGCUGCGAGACCGUGAGGUGGAGCGAAUCCCUUAAAGCCGGUCUCAGUUCGGAAUCGGGGUCUGCAACUCGACCCCGUGAAAUUGGAGUCGCUAGUAAUCGCAGAUCAGCAACGCUGCGGUGAAUACGUUCCCGGGCCUUGUACACACCGCCCGUCACGUCAUGAAAGUCGGUAACACCCGAAGCCGGUGGCCUAACCCUUGU
rnacentral:rRNA from 1 species